ACUAGUUUGCUUAUCUCUUCUAUUAUUAUAAAAUAGGAGAACAAAUAGAACAAACUGGAGAAGCACAUCACACGGUAUCCAGGGUUACGGCGGGAAUCGAACUCGCAACCUUUACUCUACAGGUCGCUUGGGGAAACGGUAAGACCGUUCGGCCAGAGAUGCCCUUGCUUAUUUUUGUAUGGAAAGAAUAAAGAAAAUUUGUUGAUUAACACACUCUGAUGUAAAAACAUACAAAUCUCGUUCUACUGAGAAUUGCAACCCGCCUGAGUUGGAUAAACAGGUUGAUUAUAGGAGUGUACUUAAUCAACACAAGAUAAAGAAAUACACAGUAAGUUUUAUGUUUCCGUUAGGUAUUAUUUAAGUAAUUUAUACACAGCAAAGUUAAUAAUGAAUUUCAUCAACUUUUGUUUCUAAUGACACUUGGACAAGCCAAGCUCACCAUACAUUGGCCUUUUGCGAAUUAAGCCAUGAAUGUGCCCUUUAAGUUUGACAAGAGAAAACCGCAAGAGUAAAAGUACGUCUUAGCUCAGAACUUCAUGGAUAGAUGGCAGCACCACUGUCAUUUUGUGAGGUCACUUCCUCAAUUUAGACAUAGAAAUCUGAAGGGGAAGGAAAGUUUCUCCAGAUCCAUGUAUCCACGGUAUUGCUCAACGACUGAUUACAAGACUUUCGAUUCCACAGAUUUUAAGAGCACGUAUAUCGCAUGUACUCGAUGGGUCUCAGUGGAGUCGAAUAUUGAACCAAUCCCAGUGGAUAGAGCCACUGGUCUAUCCACUGGGAGAGAGAAGAGCCACUGGUCUGUCAUGACCCUUUUAUCAAUUUCAUGCUAUUGAUUCAGCUUCAGGCUAUUUUAAAAUUAGUUUUGCUACUCAAUAUUUUCUUUCAACCAUAAUAACUCAUGUAAUCAUCACUGUCGCCAUAUUUUGAGUAAAUAAAUUUAGCCACUUUGCUCAUUA